UCUCAAAUGUUUAUCUGCACUUCUGCAGCAUUCCAGGAUUGAAGAGAGAUCCACAUCCGUGCAGCAGCCCACCAGUUGAAGACACCUGAGCUGGAAUAACAUUUUACUGCAAGGGAAUUUACAGGAAAUAUGACUGACAGUACAAGAUGAGCAGAUCAGAGCACGAAUGGUGGCCAGAUGUAUAUCAGCUCUCCAUCUGGCCGAUCCAACAUCUAACAGGUGAAGUUCCUCGUGCGCGCUGUGACGUGUGCGUGACGUUUCCGAAUCAGAACCAGAACCUUGCCGAUGUUCAACCUCACUGAGUGUCUGAGCAUAUGUUGAGUUCGACGUUUUUCACAGACAGAUAUUGAUGGCAUUUUUGAUAUCAGAAAACACUAGUCCAGUUUUUCCUCCCAGUGCUGAAGGAAAGCCUGGUGUUCAACCCCAUAGUCCAGCUUGCCUGAUGAAGUAUCAGCCAUGCAGGAAGCCAUUGAGCGUACAGAGGUUUAUGAAUAUGUGUUGAGCCUGAACUCAGGCUGCACACAGACAAACUUCCAGGAAUACAAGGUCUUGUAUGCCCUCAAGCUCUCUGAGUCUGGGCUUUCAUCUCAAGCCCUCGAAUAUUGUGAGAACAUUGCAAAAGCAGUCAUUGCCUUCCCAGACAGAAUCCCAAACACCUUGUUCAACCAGCUUAUACAGCUGUCAGGGAACCUGAAUAAAGGGAAGGAAAAAGAACCAGAAUGGCUGUUAAAUCUUCGCCUGCUGCACGAAGAAGAAGCCAAAGAUUCAGAUUCUUGUACUGAGCAACAGCAGCCCACAGAGACGUCAGGAAACACGCUUAUGUAUGUAAAGACUUAUAACCUCACCAUUCGGCCUCAGACCCAGAAGAGGAUGGGCUCCCUUUUGAGCCUGGUUCCUCUCAAGGCUUCUCUCUUAUGUAGUGUCAGAGAGUUUUUCCUUGCCACUGUUGCCUUCUGGCUUGCUCAAAGGCGAUCUAAAUUUACGUAAGCAUUGCGUUAUAGCGGCUUAGUGACAGGACAAUAACAGGACACGGACACAUGAAAAGAAAUUUGAAAAAUCAUGAAAAUAGUCUUCGCUAUGCUGAGACAUGUGCCGCUUGCCAAGAGGAGGCAUAUAUAACUGUCAUUUCAAACCUGUAAAAGUUAUGUAUUUAUAACUGUUAAUUGUCAGAUUAAUGAGAUUAAUGUAUUAAUGAAAGCUAGAUAGAUACACUAUAUCACCAAAAGUAUUGGGACACCCCUUCAAUCAUUGCAUUCAGGUGUUGUUUUUCAGUGGUUGGGGCUCGGCCCCUUAGUUCCAGUGAAAGGAACUCUUAAUGCUUCAGCAUUCCCAGACAUUUUGGACAAUUUCAUUUGGGGAAGACCCCUUCCUGUUCCAACAUGACUUGUUACCAUGGAUAGGAAGUGUAUGACCUGCUCAUGAUCGAAUCGAUCGAAAUGUUUCCUCAAAGAGAAGAAUAAUGAACAGGUUCAUCUGCAGAACAUGUCAUUAGCAGAAACCGUCAUUACCCUAGAUUAGAGUUUCUAGGUUUUAAAACACCAAGAAUGACAUUUAACGCAAGUUUCCAACAUUUAAAACUAUUUUGCAGUACAGGAGGUGGUAGUUCUUCUGUAGAUGGCAUUCUCAGACUGAAACAACAAUUUAUAAAAAAAUAUUUAGUAAUGGUAAACUCAACACUUCCACAGAAAUGAUUUAAGUCUACUGAUGGAUGAUCAAAUGAGAUAUACAUUGAAUAUUUGCACAAUUAAUGUCUAAAUUAGUCAAAUUCAGAUUCUGCCGGGACACAUGAGCAAUUUUGUGAGACUCUGAAGAACCAAAAUCUAACAUAAUA